rnacentral:rRNA from 1 species
UACAUGUGGGGCAAGCGUUGUUCGGAAUUACUGGGCAUAAAGGGUGCGUAGGCGGCUUGUUAAGUCAGGGGUGAAAGUUUUCGGCCCAACCGGAAAAUUGCCUUUGAUACUGGCGAGCUGGAGUGCGUGAGGGGUGACCGGAACGAGUGGUGUAGCGGUGAAAUGCGUAGAUAUCACUCGGAAGGCCAACGGCGAAGGCAGGUCACUGGUGCGCAACUGACGCUGAGGCACGAAAGCGUGGGGAGCAAGCAGG